rnacentral:rRNA from 1 species
UGGGGAAUAUUGCACAAUGGGGGGAACCCUGAUGCAGCGACGCCGCGUGGGCGAGGAAGUAUUUCGGUAUGUAAAGCCCUAUCGGCAGGGAAGAAGAAAUGACGGUACCUGAAUAAGAAGCACCGGCUAAAUACGUGCCAGCAGCCGCGGUAAUACGUAUGGUGCAAGCGUUAUCCGGAUUUACUGGGCGUAAAGGGAGCGCAGGCGGCGCGCCAAGUCUGAUGUGAAACCCCGGGGCUCAACCCCGGGCAUGCAUUGGAAACUGGCGGGCUGGAGUGCCGGAGAGGUAAGCGGAAUUCCUAG